rnacentral:rRNA from 1 species
GACGAACGCUGGCGGCGUGCUUAACACAUGCAAGUCGAACGGAAAGGCCCUGCUUUUGUGGGGUGCUCGAGUGGCGAACGGGUGAGUAACACGUGAGUAACCUGCCCUUGACUUUGGGAUAACUUCAGGAAACUGGGGCUAAUACCGGAUAGGAGCUCCUGCUGCAUGGUGGGGGUUGGAAAGUUUCGGCGGUUGGGGAUGGACUCGCGGCUUAUCAGCUUGUUGGUGGGGUAGUGGCUUACCAAGGCUUUGACGGGUAGCCGGCCUGAGAGGGUGACCGGCCACAUUGGGACUGAGGGACGGCCCAGACGCCUACGGGAGGCAGCAGUGGGGAAUAUUGCACAAUGGGCGGAAGCCUGAGACAGCAACGCCGCGUGCGGGAUGACGGCCUUCGGGUUGUAAACCGCUUUCGCCUGUGACGAAGCGGGAGUGACGGUAAUGGGUAAAGAAGCACCGGCUAACUACGUG